ensembl:lncRNA
CCUAAAGUCUAAAGGGGAGACCUGUGGUAGAAGCUCUCUCAGUUGAGAAGCACAACCCUAAGUAUAUGGUUUCCUCCUUCCCUAGUAAGGCUCUUGAUGCUGUGUCCUUGAAGAGAACGUCCCUCCUGAGCAAAUCCAUGUCUGUCUUCCAGCUUGGAAAAUCAGACAGUGAUGAAAACCUCAUUGUUGACGGUCCAUUCUUAUGGCUAUUUUGGAGAGUUUGCCCUUGUCUUGAAACAUUUCUAAAGUUGUCUUUUGACAUUUUCCCUCUUAUCUCUUAUAAUAACUGUGGCCAUUGUCUCUCUUUGCUGAAAGAGCACUUUUCUCCAGAUAUAAAGUUCCCCCUGAACAUUAGAUUUCUCUUUCUGACUUCGGUUGUUAUUAGCCCUGCAACAGUAGCAAAAUUAGGCCCAGACAUGAACCAGGCCUGCAAUCUAACAAAAUGCUAAGUAGUCUCAUGUGCACAUUUAACUUUCCCACUAUGUGCUGGACCAAAGAUCUGUCUUUACAUGCAGUUCUCAUGUGCAGGCAGCUGGCAUUUUGGGAAUGAGUGUGAUACGUAUGAAAGACGGAGGUCCGCAGCAUGAGGAAGAAGGAAACUCUUUAUGGCAUCUCCUUGGCAAAUUUGAAUUUCCAGAAUCACCACUUUUAUCCGAAGGAUUCAGUCAAGGCUCGAAGCCCUGGAGCUCACUGUAGAGUCCCUCUCGAGUCUGCGUAAGGAGGCUGAAGGUUCUGCAAUGGAAGCUGAAGAAUCCUCACUGGAAGCCAGGAGAUGAUGUCCACAGCGAAGGUGAAGACUGGAGCUCCUCCAAAAAAAACAGAGGCAAGUCUUCUUUCUUCAUUUCCUUUUUAUUCCAUUCAGGCCACAACCUAUUGGUUACUACCGCUCACACUCAGAGUCUUCUGUCUUCAGUAAAUCCCCUCAGCCACACCCAGAACUACGCCAAUCCAAUUUAGUUGGGCGUUUCUUACUCAAAUUGACACAGUUAACUCUCACAUGCUGUAAUGUAUUUUGUACAUAAAAAGACAAUAUGUAAUAACAGCAAAACAAACCAAAACC